GCCCGGAUGGCGAAACUGGUAGACGCAGCAGACUUAAAAUCUGCCGGCCGCGAGGCCGUGCCGGUUCGAUUCCGGCUCCGGGCACCA
rnacentral:tRNA from 1 species